CUUGUUGUAGAGCAUAGCUGGCAUCAGUAUUUUUACCUCUCGUUCUGAAAUACAUCUAGCAGGUGCUCAUCAUCGUGUAAACUUGUAUGCUAGAAGCAGGCAGACACACUAGACCCUCCUCCAUUAGACUGAUGAUGAUGCAACAGUGCAUUCUUUACAGUGGAUAAACUGAAACUAGAGUAAGCAUCUUUUUGCUCUGAUGGAUCAAUUUCUCAUUGCUAAUAUUUAUAUAUUUUCUUCUAGGAUUUAUACUUUCUCGUUCAAGAUAAACCACCAGACAAAAUAAACUCUACAAGAUGGUUCUGUUUCUUCACCCAUUACAUACUUUAUCACAUUCACACUAUGUCUGAAUCCUACUACCCGUUUCUGUACAAUAUCAAGAUUGUGUGUUUGUGUACCCCUAUAUACUUUCUUGUGUCUAUUUGUUUUAUGCAAGCCUGCAUUCCUGGAGUCUUAAUUUUCGACUGAUGACGAAACUGAAUAAUGUGCAACAUCUGAUGUGUUCUUUUCUCGGGUAUAAUGCGCAAGCACCACAAGGCUCACAAAGUUAGGGCUCACAUAUAUAAUUAGCCCUAACUCUGAUGUGUUCUUGAAGGCUCCACUUUGUGAGCCUUGUGGUGCUUGCGCAUGUGGCUGGUGGGCGGCGGCGACGGUGUGGCCCUCUUGUCCUAAUGUGAAACUUCCCCCUCCGGUGUUGGAUGUGUGCAGCGGCGAUGUUCUGCUCAAGGAGAGCCUCCGGGUCUCAUUGGGGGUGCGCUGACCUUCUCUAUGUGGCCAUCUUCUGGCGGCAUCCAUCUCAUCUUGCGACGGUGCGUCGCCUUCGAUCCGGGCAAGGAGGUAGUGGCCUUCUUCGAAGAUGGUGUACCGGAUGUGCCGUGCCGGGGCCUGUAGGUGCAUGGUUACAGCAUAUGCCCUGCUGGUGUCGACCCCUCUCUCCUCCGAGCCAGUGUGAUAUUGUUCUUGGUGCAGCAUUCUUGGAGACGGUCCUCGGUGUCUUCGGCUUCGUUCUCUUUUGAUUAUCUUCAGUUUCCAUAGCGUGUGAGGAGUAGUUUGGUGUUGUCCAUCUUUAUGUAUCUUACCGCCGUGUUGUUCUUUCUUUUGCAUGAGGGCGUUUGCUUGUAUUCUGCCAGUUGAUGGCUUUGUUAAUUCAAAGUCGGGCUAGGCUUGAGCCCCAUCUCGGGCUCGGCUAAUGCCUUUUGUCUAAAAAAAUGUUAAACAAUGAUUAGCACACCAGAAUUUAUCCUCGGUGUUGUGUUAUUUAUGGUCCGCGUGUGUGAUGUGGACUGAAGUGUUUUUUACUGAUUAUGUGUGUUUCAUAUUUCCUGGUUUAUCCUUGAAAUUAUAGAAUUAUUCUCCAUUGUUCUGUCAUUUCUGAAUUUUGCAUGCAAAUUAGAAAUUUACUUACUUCGGUACUGCUGUGAUGAUUCUGUGAGAAAAAAAAAGGAAUUAGUUUUCAUGGUUUUUGAAUACUACAUUUCUUUUCUAAGAAAGUUGGCACUUCCCUGACGUGAUUCCCUCCCCUCCAAACUCACGUGGGGAUCUCCCCCGGUGGCAGGAGAGGAUUUCCUAUGACCAUGGAAAGUCCCCCUCGUGGG
rnacentral:lncRNA from 1 species